rnacentral:rRNA from 1 species
UAUUGGACAAUGGGCGAAAGCCUGAUCCAGCCAUGCCGCGUGUGUGAAGAAGGCCUUUUGGUUGUAAAGCACUUUAAGCGAGGAGGAGGCUACCUGGAUUAAUACUCUGGGAUAGUGGACGUUACUCGCAGAAUAAGCACCGGCUAACUCUGUGCCAGCAGCCGCGGUAAUACAGAGGGUGCGAGCGUUAAUCGGAUUUACUGGGCGUAAAGCGUGCGUAGGCGGCUUUUUAAGUCGGAUGUGAAAUCCCUGAGCUUAACUUAGGAAUUGCAUUCGAUACUGGGAAGCUAGAGUAUGGGAGAGGAUGGUAGAAUUCCAGGUGUAGCGGUGAAAUGCGUAGAGAUCUGGAGGAAUACCGAUGGCGAAGGCAGCCAUCUGGCCUAAUACUGACGCUGAGGUACGAAAGCAUGGGGAGCAAACAGGA